UGAGCAAUCUGCCCUUCUCAUCGGAAUAAGCGUUGGAAACGACGUCUAAUGCCGAAUACGACCUCCUUUCGCAUGAUCGGAGGUGGCAAGCUCCGGCGGAGAAGGAUGAGCUCGCGGCCUAUCAGCUAGUUGGUGUGGGUAAUGGCCCACCAAGGCGACGACGGGUAGCCGGCCUGAGAGGGUGACCGGCCACACUGGGACUGAGACACGGCCCAGACUCCCGUAGGGA
rnacentral:rRNA from 1 species